CAGUUCGGCUGGACCGGAGACAGGUGCUGCAUGGCUGUCGUCAGCUCGUGUCGUGAGAUGUUGGGUUAAGUCCCGCAACGAGCGCAACCCUCGCCCUUAGUUGCCAGCAUUCAGUUGGGCACUCUAAGGGGACUGCCGGUGAUAAGCCGAGAGGAAGGUGGGGAUGACGUCAAGUCCUCAUGGCCCUUACGGGCUAGGCUACACACGUGCUACAAUGGUGGUGACAGUGGGCAGCGAGCGCGCGAGCGUGAGCUAAUCUCCAAAAGCCAUCUCAGUUCGGAUUGCACUCUGCAACUCGAGUGCAUGAAGUUGGAAUCGCUAGUAAUCGCGGAUCAGCACGCCGCGGUGAAUACGUUCCCGGGCCUUGUACACACCGCCCGUCACACCAUGGGAGUUGGUUUUACCCGAAGGUAGUGCGCUAACCGCAAGGAGGCAGCUAACCACGGUAG
rnacentral:rRNA from 1 species